UCAAGCCGUAUGAAGGGAAAUUCUCAUGUACGGUUUUCAGAGGGGGAAUUUAAGUUUAAGGCUUGACUAAGUUCAUGCAAUACAUAGUCAUUGUGGUUGGAAAUUAGUAAUAAUCGACUAGGGGUGGGAAUAGCUACUCAUGU
rnacentral:ncRNA from 1 species